AACUUGUGCCAUUAAACGCGUCACGGUGUGCUCGUCAUUCCCUGGAAAGAGAGCAGGCUGUGAUUACAUCGGCGCCCCUCCGCUAGCGGCGCCGCUGCAGGAUCCCCGCACACCGAGCCCAUGACCGGAGGUCCGGACCGUGAACCAGAUGCCUCUAUGAUCCAGUCCGCAUCCCGGCGAGACAGACAGCGUUCAGUUAGCAUCGGGUAAGACAAGCCUGCCGUAGCUAGCAUGAGGCUAACCGGCUCAGGCUAACGCUGAUUAGGCCGGAUUCCAUUCAAAAAAUCGGACACGUUAGAGCGUAAUGUGCUGGUAACAAUCCAACAAAGAAGCCGUUACUUAUUUGCCUUUUUCCCCCGGGUGUUGUUCUAAUCUCGUUGAAUUACGGGGCUGCACUUCAUUGUUUCACAUUUGUAUAAAACUGAUACUUUGUGAGAAUGCGUUGAGACAUUGUUCUUGAGAUUAGUGCCGAAUGAAUGACCUUGUUACUGCUGAUUCUUUUACCGCUUGUAUGUGGAUGAAACCCGCAAUGUUUUCCCUCAAAAGGACAACAAGUGUUAAAUCCACCAAAUACCGAAUGCAGUUACGCAGCACGGCACUUUUGCUGCAGAUUCCAGCUGCUUGGUGGUAGCACAUGAAAUACUGGCUUUUGUUUCAGAUGGAUUUCUUCAUGCACUAUUGACUGUCAAGUGGAAAGAUAGAAAGUAGGUAAUUGUCCUGGUGAGCUGAGAUUAACAUUAGCUAAAGGAUUAGGUCUAGCCAGGCAAGGACAAGGGCGGUAUCGAUUAGCUGUGGCACCAGAGAAAGCUAGGGACGCCGAAUAUGGUAAAAAAAAAAAAAAGAGGCCGUCACUUUGUAAGAUUCCCAAUCAAUACAUUAGGAUUCAUCAUUUAGUCUACAGAUUAUGACACAAUGGAGGCGACCCUGUGAACUGUGCCCUGAUUGUAGCCUCACAGGCGCGUGUAGGCUGCCCCGCCCCCUUGACUGCUGUCAUUAGCCUCACGGCCACUGGACACUUUAUUAGGAACACCAGCACCAUCUACAGCAGGGGUCGGGAACCUUUUUGGCUACAAGAGCCAUGAAGACCGGAUAUUUUAAAAUGUAUAUCUGUGAGAGCCAUAUACAUUUUUUUAAACAUUGAAUGCAAUAAAAUGUGUGCAUUUUUAUGUAAGACCAACAGUUUUAGAUAUAAUGGGCUCUAAUUACGUAGACCAGGCACACUACCCCACGCCAAGGGGGUGUGGCCAGCACACUUUUGUGAGCAGCGCAAUACUUGCUGCCAUUAAUGCAACUUCUGCUGCUGCAUGUUUUGCACCAUACUCAGUAUAUUUCAUUCUUUUGGCCAUCUUUGCCAGAAGGCUUGGUUCUGCAGCUUUAGCUAGGUGACUAUUUGACUAAAGGAGGAAAGUUUACAUUUACAUCUUAAUGACCGAGGUACAGUACCGCAUUACCCAGUAAUAAUCGAGUUUUGGUGUUUGACCUGGAAAAUAUCAUCAGGAAAGAUAGAUAUGGUCGGCCGUAUUGCAGUAGAAAAUAGAUGGACGGAUUAAAAUGCAUAAGAAAGUUGUAGAUUUUUAAUAUUUUUAACAGUGAUUUCUGUGAUGGUUUACUUUAAAAUGUUAGCAAACAUACAUUUUUAUUGUGGUAAAUGCUUGAGAGCCAGAUACAGUCAUCAAAAGAGCCCUACCUGGCUCCCGAGCCAUAGGUUCCCUACCUCUGAUCUACAGCAUAGGGUCAAAACAAUAGAAACGGCUGCCAGUCUGAUACAGUAAUAAUAAUAAUAAUAAUAAUUCAUGCUCAAUUGCAAUUGUCUUUGUCUGCCAGGAUGCGAUAUCAUGUACAUCCAUAACAAGGAAUGUUUGAUCAUUUCCUGGCAGAUUCCUAAAAGAAGGCUUAGGUCUAAAAAUGUUUGGUCGGAUGCUUUGUGCUUUUCAGCAUUUGAAGCGCAGCUAAACUUAGCCAGCAACAUUCAAAGGACGGCACUGCGCAAUGUCUGUCUCAUCCGUGCACGUAAUAAUAAUCAUAAUAAUAAUAAUAUGAGAGGACUUAUGAAUAGUGGGUGCAUUAUAGUCAUGGCUUUACCUGGGGUAGCAAUUCUUGCUGAAAGAGAAAGAGUCCAUCUUAUUUGAAUUGAGUCUUUUUAAAAAUGUGUUAUUAAAUGUAUUUAAAAGCUCUUAACAUUCCAAUUGCAAUGUAAAAUAUUCCAGAUAAAUUAAUUGCUUUCAUAUAUUGUACUCUCAUUAUUUUGCCAUAUCAUUCAUGAAAAAUGGUCUCCAAAUAGAAUCAAUUAUUGUCAAUAUUUUGUAUGCCAGUUAUUAUCCAGCAAAGGCUGUCGUCAUGACAAUCGUAGGCGAUUAAAAUGCCGGCCUUCCUGAUCUUCUCUCUGCGGGGUUUUGUAUUUAAUGACUUUCACAUGCUGUGCCCUGGCGAUGGCACCCGGCGGGACCCUCCUCCAAAGGAGGGAAGCCUGGUAUUCCCUGGUAUUCCGUGUUAUUCCCGGCAUGCUGCUCACUUAGCCAAGCACGGCUGACACGCCAUCAGGAUGGUGUGAAAUAUCGUGGUGAUGAUGAAGAUCACAUGACACGAUGGCGGCGUGCAUGUCGUGUGUUUGCGGCCUUCUGAACGGACUCCGACGGCACCCGAGUAAUCUGCGAGGUCAGCAAAAUGUAAUCUGCUUUGGUCGACGCCCCGGCUGGCGCGGCGCGGUGCGUGUGUGAGACUCCCUGGUCCCGCAGUGUCGUUGUGUUGAAAGUGAUUGUGGCGUCAAUGGCUGAUCUCUUAGUUGUCUUUGGUGGCAUCUGCGUGUGAAAGGAGAAGAGGUGAGCCAUGGCUGACCCCAACCCAAACCCCAACGCCAACCCCAACCCCUCCCGGCCCCAGAGGAAGAUGUCCACGGCCGGUGAGAGCGUCUACAAGGUAUUAGGACUGGAGAAAGGAGCCUCGGCCGAGGACAUCAAGAAAGCCUACAGGAAGUUGGCGUUGAAGUACCACCCGGACAAGAACCCCGACAACCCGGAGGCGGCGGAGAAGUUCAAGGAGAUCAACAACGCCAACUCCAUCCUCAACGAUGAGACCAAGAGGAAGAUCUACGACGAGUACGGCUCCAUGGGCCUUUACGUGUCCGAGCAGUUUGGGGAGGAGAGCGUCAAGUACUACUUCCUCAUGUCCAAAUGGUGGUUUAAGACGCUGGUCCUGUGCUGCACGCUCUUCAGCUGCUGUUGCUGCUGCUGCUGCUGCUGCUUCUGCUGCGGGAAGUGCAAGCCCCCCGACGACGAGGAAAGCUACCACUAUGUGGAUCCCGAGGAUCUGGAGGCCCAGAUCAAGGCGGAGCAGCAGGACAGCGGUCCCAGAGUAGUCAUAAGCCAGCCCGCAUCUUGCGGGGGCGGAGAGACCCCAGAGGGCAAAAGCCAGCCCAUCCCCCUGCCCAUGCCGUCGCCCCACCCCCAGUCGCCACCCUCGACCCGUCCAUCUGAGGGGCAGGAGAAAGGAGAGAGCUUGCCCGAGUCGAAAUGACUCGGAGAUGAUACUGGACGUCACUCAGCCACAAGAGCAGGCAGCUCUCCUCAUUAGAAGCCCCGCCCCCUUCAUGAUCCAGCCACAUUAGAGUGCCAGAGAUGAACCAGCCCAAAACCACCAGCCGGCUAAGGCCCGCCAUCCCGCUUCCCGACCCGCAGGAGAAGUCCAAAGCAGGGAAGCUUUGGCGCUUCCUCCCGAGAACGGACGUCCUUGCUGUGGAUUUCUUCCUCCAUCUGGUCUCCGCAGGCAGGCUUGGCUGUGAGGCCAGAAAGCAUGUUUUUGUCAGGAUGCAUGCCCUCCAGUCCCACGCAGACUUGCCAACUGCUCCCCAACGACCCCCGUCGUCUUGUGCCACUAACUAGCAACACAAAGCCAGCAGCUUCUGUGAACCACUACGGCGACCGACGGAACAUUGUAGCGCACUUGGACGGAUCCCAGCCCCUCAGAGGCAAUGCUGUCCUCUGCGUACAGUCCACGUGGUCUGCAGCCCAUUCCUGCCCACAUUCAGCUCAAGCAGGAAAAAUGUGAGUCUAUCCCACCCAUCCGAUGUUGACUGAAGCAGGGAGGCGUUUCUUCCUCAGCUUUUAAAGGAAGUGUUGUGCCUUGGGGGGGAAAAGUGCAGCGUGACACUUUUGUCGUCACAGCGUCUGUGGCAUUGAGUCGUGGGGGGCAAGGACAUCGUCUAAUUUGCAUAAUUGGCCAUGACGCAAAACUCUGGCCAGAGUGGAGAUUUUUUUUAAACCCGACUUUGUGUGUACGCGUGCGGAUGGGUAAAACUGAGCUUUUUUUGUUUGUAUCGUAAGAAAUGUGACUAUCUCGUGUUUUUGACUUACAGCUGUUGGUUCAUUUUGCGUGCGUGCGCCUUAUAACAGGCAAGCAAACAUUCAUGUUUCCUGGGCUCCGUGUAACGCGCGUUGAUUUUCAAGAUAAUGUACACGUCAUUGUACAGCCGACGUAUCACUACAGACGCAUGAUGAUGCGCCACCUAUAGGUGGUAUGAGGGAUGCGAAGAAGCAGCAUUUUAAUGCCAUCUACUGGGGACUUGGAAGCAGGCGCUCCAGACAGCCCCAUUAUAAUGUGAAUGGUGUGUAGCGCUAAAUCAAAGUGGGGAAACAUACGCUGAGAAGAAAGCCACUCAGACUCCUUUGCCGCAUUCCAUUUCCUCCCCCGUUAGCAUGUGGAGAGGAGCGUCCUCAUUUUGCCAACGGUACGCCCUUCCUGCAAAGGUGUCAAUUCUAUGACUGGUCCAGUUGGUGUAAACACUCACUAUGCAAAUUGAUCAUUUAUUUGAAUUAAAGCCGCUUUUUUUACAUAUCAUUUCACACCAUUGUAACUUGUGAAUACAAAAAAAAUAAAUGUGAAGGUUACUUUUGUUUUGUCCAUAGUGUAAUGUUUGUUUGUUUUUUU